UUAGUUGUAGAUAAAAAUUUAGAAUUAGUAAUAGUUAUGUUCUUUAAAAUUAAAGAUUUUGGCGGUAUUUUAGUCUUUUCAGAGGAACCUGUUCUAUAAUUGAUAGUCCACGAUAAAUUAAACUUAUUUUUUUAAUUUGUAUAACGUCGUAGAUGAAUAUUUUAAAAGAAAAAAAAUAUUCAAUAUUUAUUAUUUUAGUAAAAAUCAGAUCAUGUUGCAGUUUAUAAAUAAGAAGAAAUGGGUUACAAUAUAAUAUAUAAACGGAUUAAUAAUUGAAAAUUAUUAUAAAGGUGGAUUUGAAAGUAAUUAAUUAUAUUUUUUUUUAAUGAUUUAAGCUCUAAAAUAUGU
rnacentral:rRNA from 1 species